rnacentral:misc_RNA from 1 species
UUUCCGUAGGUGAACCUGCGGAAGGAUCAUUAUUGUAUAACCUUGAGGCGAGGACUUUCGCUCACCCGAACGCUCGUGCACACCCGAGUGCCCUCACACACAGUCUUCUCCCCCCCAUGUGCACCUCCGCGUGGGUCCCCCUUUCUCUUGUUCGGCGGGCGGCUUACGUUUUCACACGAACUUUGUAUGUAGUGUAGAAUGUAUUUUUUGUUUUUGCGAACACGCAAUCAAUACAACUUUCAACAACGGAUCUCUUGGCUCUC